UUCUUUCGGUAUUAUUUUUAG
rnacentral:piRNA from 1 species